rnacentral:rRNA from 1 species
AAUAGCUCAAAUUUGAAAGCUGGCGUCUUCGACGUCCGCGUUGUAAUUUGUAGAGGAUGUUUCGGCGAGGGCUCCUGCCUAAGUUCCCUGGAAUGGGACGUCACAGAGGGUGAGAAUCCCGUAUGUGGCGGGCGGCCUUAGCCAUGUGAAACUCCUUCGACGAGUCGAGUUGUUUGGGAAUGCAGCUCUAAAUGGGAGGUAAAUUUCUUCUAAAGCUAAAUACCGGCCAGAGACCGAUAGCGCACAAGUAGAGUGAUCGAAAGAUGAAAAGCACUUUGGAAAGAGAGUUAAAAAGUACGUGAAAUUGUUGAAAGGGAAGCGCUUGCAACCAGACUCGUUCGCAGUUGCUCAGCCCGCCUCUUGGUGGGUGUACUCUUCUGCGGUCGGGCCAGCAUCAGUCCGGGCGGUCGGAUAAAGGUGUCGGGAAUGUAGCACCCUUCGGGGUGUGUUAUAGCCCGGCGCGGAAUGCGGCCAGCCUGGACUGAGGAUCUCGCUUCGGCAAGGAUGCUGGCGUAAUGGUUGUAAGCGGCCCGUCUUGAAACACGGACCAAGGAGUCUAACAUCUAUGCGAGUGUUUGGGUGUCAAACCCAUGCGCGUAAUGAAAGUGAACGGAGGUGGGAACCCGUAAGGGUGCACCAUCGACCGAUCCUGAUGUCUUCGGAUGGAUUUGAGUAAGAGCAUAGCUGUUGGGACCCGAAAGAUGGUGAACUAUGCCUGAAUAGGGUGAAGCCAGAGGAAACUCUGGUGGAGGCUCGCAGCGGUUCUGACGUGCAAAUCGAUCGUCAAAUUUGGGUAUAGG